rnacentral:lncRNA from 1 species
UUUUUCCACGCUGAAACUCUAAAUUUCUAUGUUUAUGAAUCUAAACAAGGGAAUUGGUUCAUGUCAAUUUAUAAAUUCUGACUUUAUCCAAAUUCUAAUUUUAUUUCUCUCAUCCAAACAUAGUGUAAAAAAUCCUCACCAUGAUCGUUGAGUUAAAAAAAAUAAAAAUUAACUUGGAAACUAUCUGGUUAUCAAGUAAAUAUAAACCAAAUAAUUAUGAAUUUACCUAAUUUUUUAUGAAAUUUUUGUUGAAAGAAGAUGAAAAAUGGAAAAGUCCACAUAUACACAACAAUGCUAAAAUAAUGCCAUAAUAAUGCCACUCUAGAAAAUUAUUGGCGUAUAAUGACCUUUUUUAGGUGAAAUGAUGACGAUUUAUUUGAUACUAAUUGAAAAUAUUGAUACAAACAUAAAAAGAAACAUUCGAACUAAAAUUUAAGAGUUCCUGAAUUCAAAGAGGUUGCAAUAAAAUUUAAGAGUUCCUGAAAAUAACUCUUAAGAUGGUACAUUUUUUUUGAACAACUAACGAUGGUACAUUCAAAUAUAAACCACAGACAUUUUGGGAACCAUGUACAUUCUAAUUGCUGGAAGAUAUUGUAUUAAAAGCCAAUAUGAGAAAUGCUAAUGGGAUUUUCUUAGGCUCAAGUUUAACAUUACUUUCUGUGCAAA